GAGUUUGAUCCUGGCUCAGGAUGAACGCUAGCGGCAGGCUUAAUACAUGCAAGUCGAGGGGCAGCGCAGUAGCAAUAUGGGCGGCGACCGGCAAACGGGUGCGGAACACGUACACAACCUUCCUCUUGGUCGGGGGACAGCCCAGGGAAACUUGGAUUAAUACCCCAUAACAUACUGUGAUUGCAUAAUUACGGUAUUAAAGAUUUAUCGCCGGGAGAUGGGUGUGCGUAUGAUUAGGUAGUUGGCGGGGUAACGGCCCACCAAGCCUCCGAUCAUUAACUGGUGUGAGAGCACGACCAGUCACACGGGCACUGAGACACGGGCCCGACUCCUACGGGAGGCAGCAGUAAGGAAUAUUGGUCAAUGGGCGGGAGCCUGAACCAGCCAUGCCGCGUGGAGGAUGACGGCCCUCUGGGUUGUAAACUUCUUUUAUCUGGGACGAAAAAAGCCUUUUCUAAGGAGCUUGACGGUACCAGGUGAAUAAGCACCGGCUAACUCCGUG
rnacentral:rRNA from 1 species